AGCGAAUAGCCACAGCGCAGUGCAGCCUGGCCAUGCCCAGUUGGGGGGGGGUUGGGGGGCUGUUUCCUGUUCCUCAGUGGCCUCUAUUCUCCCUCCUCUUGGGACCUUUCCUGCCCUCUCUGCCACCCCCCGAGGAGGCCGUGGGGGGAGUCCAUGGCCCGGAAAGACGCCCAGGCCUCUUGGCAUCAGCUUGCGAUUUGAGCUCAGCGGCUGCCCUUAGUCUGGCAGCGGGACAGGCGGAGAGCCAGCCCCCCGCCCGGCAGCGUCCUUGUAAGGCCGGGACAGAGGGCGACGGGCAGAGGGGGGCAGGAGAGAAGGAGACGGGCGACGAGAGGAGAGGAGAGCGCGGCCCAGGCCCAGGACGAUGCCGGCCCUUCUGGGGCUGGGUUUUUAAACCCGUCAGUCUGGUGUCUUUCAAUAGCGAGGCCCUGACCCUCCUCUGCGGUGCUGCAGUUUCAGCCCAGUGUAAACACCGGGAGCAACUCCUGAUUUAAACCCUGGAUCUCCCGCGUGGGAUCCCUCCGCUCCUUCGCCACCUCCACUCGCCACCAGAUGAAAAACAAAGUCCCCGAACAUCAGAAGCUCUUUCAGGCGGAUAAUGGCCUGCCCGUGCAUCUGAAAGGGGGCAUGGUGGAUGCCUUGCUG